CCCUCCUCAAACACACAUCCAUCCCCCAGCACACAACCGGUGCAUGCCUCGCCCCCACGCACACCUGACACCCCAGUGCAACACCACACACUCUCCCCUCCCUGCAAACUCCCACCUCCGCCCACCUGCUUAAUACACAUUCUCACCCCCCACACACUCCUUAAUACAUACUCUCACACCCACAAGCCUGCCUUCUUGGAGAAGUGAGCCGAGCCGUGCAGCGCCGCGAAGGGCAUCCCCGAAGACCGGGAGGAACGCCGCAGGGACCUGUGGCUUAGCGCGCUCCGCCCGGGCUUGUCUGCCCGCGGGGGCGCAGCGGCUGAGGUGGCUCCGGGCCGGAGUUCCAAUCCAGCGCCACCCAACUCCCAGUCGGGGGCCGAGGCCAGCGCCGGGAUGCCAGCUUCUCCCAAAAAGAUCCUGCCUCAGGGAAAUGCAUGGAGCCGGGGGAAAAGCUCGCGGCGUCCCCGGCGGAUCGCAGACCCUAAGGGGGCGGGAGGUGGCGCCCCAGUCCCAACCUCUGAAGCCAACCCAGUGGGUGGGAAGUGGCCAUACCCUAGGCCUUCCGGAAAGUGCUCUCUCCUUGUAUUAUUCUAAUUACGGUAUUUUUAAUUUCCUUAGAAAAAAAAAGAAACAGAAAAGCACAGAA
rnacentral:antisense_RNA from 1 species